GCCAAGCUGGCUCAAAGAGCAACCAGCCACCUCUGCAAGGGUGUGCCAGGAGCAGGUGGAGCAGCCACCAACCUCACCCACUCAAAGAAGCAGGGAUGGCCAGGUUCCAACAGCCUGAGUGGCUGCCACCUGAUGGCUGAUGGAGCAGAGGCGUGAGGAAAAGCUGAUGGCACUGCUUUGUAGUGCUGUUCUUUGUCUCUCUUCAUCUUUUUCAGUUAAAGUCUGUUUUAUCAGAGACUAGGAUUGCAAACCCUGCUUUUUUUUGCUUUCCAUUUGCUUGGUAAAUAUUCCUCCAUCCCUUUAUUUUAAACCUAUGUGUGUCUUUGCGCAUGAGAUGGGUCUCCUGAAUACAGGACACCAUUGGGUCUUUACUCUUUAUCCAACUUGCCAGUCUGUGUCUUUUAACUGGGGCAUUUAGCCCAUUUACAUUUAAGUUUAGUAUUGUUACAUGUGAAAUUUAUCCUGUCAUGAUGUUGCUAGUUUUUAAUUUUUCCCAUUAGUUAAUGCAGUUUCUUUAUAGUGUCAAUGGUCUUUACAAUUUGGUAUGUUUUUGUAGUGGCUGGUACUGGUUGUUCCUUUCCACGUUUAGUGCUUACUUCAGGAGCUCUUGUAACGCAAGAAUGUGGAUUUAUUUCUGGUAAGGUAAAUAAGUGGAUUUAUUUCUCAAUGCUGUAUUCUAUGUCCUUUACCCCAAGAAUCAUUACUUUUUAAAAUGCAAUUCAAAUUAGCAUAAAACAUUUACAGCCUAGGAAAAGGCUUGUGGCAUUAGAAUACUUAUUUAUAGGAUUAUUUUGUGUUUUUUUGAGAUACGGUCUUUGUCAUCGAGGCAGAAGUGCAGUGGUUUGAUCAUAAUUCACCACAGCCCUGAACUCUGAGUCCAAGCCAUCCUUUUGCCUUAAUCUCCCAACUAGUUGGAUCUACAAGCAUAAGGCAUCAUGCCUGGCUAAUUUUUUUACAUGUUUUUUUUUUUUUUUGUCGAGAUUAUGGUAUCACUAUGUUGCUCUGGCUGAUCUCAAAUUCCUGACCUCAAGUGAUCUUUCUGCCACAGCCUCCUAAAGUGCUAGGAUUACAUGCAUGAUGCACCAUGCCUAGCGUAGAGUAUUACAUUAGUUUCAAAGUCUUAUUCUAAGAGCCAUUUAUUGACUUUGGCCUAAAUAACUCAAUAUAAUAUCUCUGAAACUUUUUUUGACAAAUUUUGGGGCAUGAUGAUGAGAGAAGGGGGUUUGAAACUUUCUAAUAAGAAUUAACUUAGACCCAUUUAAGAAGGAAAAAACACAAAUUAUCAGAAAAAUAUAAAAGUAAGAUCAAGUGCAAAAGUUCUGUGGCAAAGAUGAUGAGAGUAAAGAAUAUAUGUUUGUGACUCAUGGUGGCUUUUACUUUGUUCUUGAAUUUUUGAGUACGAGUUAACAUUUAAAGAAUCUACAUUAUAGAUAACAUUUUAUUGCAAGUAAAUGUAUUUCAGAAUUUGUUAUUGGUUUUGUAUGAGAUUAUUCUCAGCCUAUUUCAUUAUCAAGCUAUAUUAUUUUAUUAAUGUAGUUUGAUGAUCUUACAGCAAAGCUGGAAGCUGUAUCUUCAAAAUAUGUCUAUUUGACUAAGAAGAAGUUAUUCAACAGGAGUUAUUAUCUAUGAAAAAAGUACAACCAGAAUAUAAAAAACUUGAGGAGGAUAAAAAGAUGUUGGAAGAAGUAAUAUUAAAUCUUAAAAAACAUGGAAACUGCACAUUGGUGAAGACACAUUGGUGAAGUACAAAAAUAUAAAUUGGAUGUAGAAGAAAGGGCAAUGCAGGCAAUAGAAAAAUUAGUAGAAAUCCCUUUACAGGUUAGUUUGUAAAAUCAGGUAAGUUUAUUUAUAAUGUGCUUUCAUUUAUUUCACUGCAAAUUAUAUUUUGGAUAUAUAUAUUGUGUUUCCUCUGCCUCUCUUAUAGCAAUUUGCCUUGUAGAGUUCUAGCAAAAAGGUGGCAUCUGUUUUUACUUUCAAAUAUUUAAAUUUCCAUCAUUAUAACAAAAUCAAUUUUUCAGAGUAAUGAUUCUUACUGUGGAGUCAUUUGAUUAUUAAGACCCAUUGGCAUAAGAUUACAUCCUCUGACUAUAAAAAUCGUGGAAGAAAACCUAGGAAAUAUUCGUCUGGACAUUGCACUUGGCAGUGAAUUUAUGGUUAACCUGCGGACGCCCAGGGGCUCCUCCAUCUCCACCGUGUUCUCCUCGGGCUGAAGCCCAAAGUCCCACAUUUUCUCCUCAAACAGCUCUCAGAGCCACUUCUGCAGGCAGGAGGACAGCGCGUGGACUCAGUGUCUGACUUGGGAAGCCACAUGUGAAGGAACUGCUGGGUGACUAUGGUCGUAAGUCAAUCAAAGCAGACUUUCCCUGGCUUGCUGUGCUACGUUGAUUUUGUUUUCGUAUUUUAAAAGAAGCAGAAGGGAGGUUCUAGGAAAUUUGCCCAACGUAGAUGCUGACAAGAGUGGUGACAUGAAAAAGAUUACCCAGAAGGAAAACGAGCUAUUUUCUAAACAUCUGAAAUCUGUGUAGGCUUUUGGAAAAGUGAAACUAGAUGCAAAACACAAUGAUAUAAUUCUGGCAAUUUCCACUGACACAGAACUCAGUCAAUCUGAAUUAAUCUAAGAGUUAUAAGGAAAAUGGCACUCCAAGAAGUACCUAUUAACAUCACUCAGCUGCUGUGAAAUAGGCUUACAGGCAACAUGGAGUGUCAAUUACCCAAUGUUUAAAGUCGAUCAUACAGAUUGGACUACAAUCUCUAUGGCUCAUAAAGUCUUUAAAGGAUUGACAGAUGAUUUAUCUCAUAUGUAGACAAUGAUUCUCAGCAGUUAACUAGCGCAACUUGAUAAUGUCAAUUGCUUGAGAAAAUCAGAUAAUUGCUUGAGAAAAUUAGGACAUUGCUUGAGGAAGUUAGGUAGUUAAAUAAAUUACUUUUUUUAAAGAAUAGUUUAAUAUUUUGGCAAGUAGACUUUAAAAUAGGUUGGUAAUAUUUUAAAGGCUACUUUUAAAGAAGUAGCAAUAUAACAUGUUUAAUUAUGAAAAAUAAUGUUGGAAACAAUUCAAUUUUCUAUCAGAUCAUUCACAAAUACAGAAAUACCAUCUCAAUAAUUAGAAGAAGUAGCAGCAAUUUCUGUCAUUUUUAUGCAAGUUACUCUUAGUCCAUUUAUUUGGUUUUAAAUAGUGUUUUUAAAAUUUGUUUUCAAACAGGGCUAAUCAUAAAUAAUAGAACAUAUUUUACAAUAGUUGAAGGUAACAAAAAGUAAGUGCCAUUUAAAAAAUUGUAUUAGAUUGUUUAAAAAUGUUGUGGGUACAUAGUAUGUGUUGUGGGUACAUCGUAUGUGUUGUGGGUACAUAGUAUGUGGGGUCCAUGAGAUGUUUUGAUACAGGCAUGCAAUGUGAAAUAAGCACAUCAUGGGGAAUGGGGUAUCCCUCCCCUCAAGCAUUUAUCCUUCAAGUUAUAAAAAAUUCAAUUACAGUCUUAGUUAUGUCAAACUGUACAAUUAAAUUAUUAUUGAAUAUAGUC
ensembl:lncRNA LINC01087 long intergenic non-protein coding RNA 1087